rnacentral:rRNA from 1 species
AUUGAACGCUGGCGGCAGGCCUAACACAUGCAAGUCGAACGGUAACAGGAAACAGCUUGCUGUUUCGCUGACGAGUGGCGGACGGGUGAGUAAUGUCUGGGAAACUGCCUGAUGGAGGGGGAUAACUACUGGAAACGGUAGCUAAUACCGCAUAACGUCGCAAGACCAAAGAGGGGGACCCUCGGGCCUCUUGCCAUCGGAUGUGCCCAGAUGGGAUUAGCUUGUUGGUGGGGUAACGGCUCACCAAGGCGACGAUCCCUAGCUGGUCUGAGAGGAUGACCAGCCACACUGGAACUGAGACACGGUCCAGACUCCUACGGGAGGCAGCAGUGGGGAAUAUUGCACAAUGGGCGCAAGCCUGAUGCAGCCAUGCCGCGUGUAUGAAGAAGGCCUUCGGGUUGUAAAGUACUUUCAGCGGGGAGGAAGGGAGUAAAGUUAAUACCUUUGCUCAUUGACGUACCCGCA